rnacentral:ncRNA from 1 species
GCUGGGGACCACCCGGAGAGGUGGCAGAGUGGUUGAAUGUACCUGACUCGAAAUCAGGCAUGCGUUUAUAGCGCAUCGGGGGUUCGAAUCCCCCCCUCUCCGCCAGAUACUUGAACUAAGCCCUUGAUAUUCAAGGGCUUUUUUCAUUUAUGGCCUGGCUGGUAUGC